CCUCCCUCAGGAUAGCUGGCGCUCGAAGUCUCACAGUUUUAUCUGGUAAAGCAAAUGAUUAGAGGCCUUGGGGGGAAACGAUCUCAACCUAUUCUCAAACUUUAAAUGGGUAUGAAAGUUUGCAAUCAGGGUUGCCAAUUGAAACCAGAGACUGGAUGGGGAGAACAUGCAAAGUCCACACAGAAAGGUCCCC
rnacentral:ncRNA from 1 species